rnacentral:rRNA from 1 species
GAGUAACCUGCCCUUAACUCUGGGAUAAGCCUGGGAAACUGGGUCUAAUACCGGAUAGGAGCGUCCACCGCAUGGUGGGUGUUGGAAAGAUUUAUCGGUUUUGGAUGGACUCGUGGCGUAUCAGCUUGUUGGUGAGGUAAUGGCUCACCAAGGCGACGACGGGUAGCCGGCCUGAGAGGGUGACCGGCCACACUGGGACUGAGACACGGCCCAGACUCCUACGGGAGGCAGCAGUGGGGAAUAUUGCACAAUGGGCGAAAGCCUGAUGCAGCGACGCCGCGUGAGGGAUGACGGCCUUCGGGUUGUAAACCUCUUUCAGUAGGGAAGAAGCGAAAGUGACGGUACCUGCAGAAGAAGCACCGGCUAACUACGUGCCAGCAGCCGCGGUAAUACGUAGGGUGCGAGCGUUAUCCGGAAUUAUUGGGCGUAAAGAGCUCGUAGGCGUUUUGUCGCGUCUGUCGUGAAAGUCCGGGGCUUAACCCCGGAUCUGCGGUGGGUACGGGCAGACUAGAGUGCAGUAGGGGAGACUGGAAUUCCUGGUGUAGCGGUGGAAUGCGCAGAUAUCAGGAGGAACACCGAUGGCGAAGGCAGGUCUCUGGGCUGUAACUGACGCUGAGGAGCGAAAGCAUGGGGAGCGAACAGGAUUAGAUACCCU